GCCCGCUUCGGCAGCGCAUAUACUAAAAUUGGAAUGACACAGAGAAGAUUAGCGUAGCCCCUGCACGAGGCUGACACGCAAAUCCGUGAAGUGAGAAGAAGAAGA